UGCGUAGGGACCAAGCGUUGUCCGGAAUCAUUGGGCGUAAAGAGCGUGUAGGCGGCUUGUUAAGUCUUGCGUGAAAUCUCGGGGCUCAACCCCGAGCGGUCGUGAGAAACUGGCAGGCUAGAGUGCGGGAGAGGAGAGUGGAAUUCCUGGUGUAGCGGUGAAAUGCGCAGAUAUCAGGAAGAACACCCGUGGCGAAGGCGGGUCUCUGGGCAUCUCCUGACGCUGAGGCGCAAAAGCGUGGGGAGCAAACGGG
rnacentral:rRNA from 1 species